GACGAACGCUGGCGGCGUGCCUAAUACAUGCAAGUCGAACGCUUUUUCUUUCACCGGAGCUUGCUCCACCGAAAGAAAAAGAGUGGCGAACGGGUGAGUAACACGUGGGUAACCUGCCCAUCAGAAGGGGAUAACACUUGGAAACAGGUGCUAAUACCGUAUAACACUAUCUUCCACAUGGAAGAAAGUUGAAAGGCGCUUUUGCGUCACUGAUGGAUGGACCCGCGGUGCAUUAGCUAGUUGGUGAGGUAACGGCUCACCAAGGCAACGAUGCAUAGCCGACCGGGGAGGGUGAUCGGCCACACUGGGACAGAGACACGGCCCAGACUCCUACGGGACGCAGCAGUAGGGAAUCUUCGGCAAUGGACGAAAGUCUGACCGAGCAACGCCGCGUGAGUGAAGAAGGUUUUCGGAUCGUAAAACUCUGUUGUUAGAGAAGAACAAGGAUGAGAGUAAAAUGUUCAUCCCUUGACGGUAUCUAACCAGAAAGCCACGGCUAACUACGUGCCAGCAGCCGCCGUAA
rnacentral:rRNA from 1 species